rnacentral:lncRNA from 10 species
GCUUCCCUCCUCUCUGCUUUGCCUGAGUCAUCAAAAUUUGUGAGUUUGUGUGAAUGAGUGAGAGUGCGUGUGGGAGAGAAAGAGAGACAGACAGAAACACAGGGCAAAAGACAGCGUGGCAGGCUGGGCGGGAAACCUGGCUCAAAGUGUGUGUGCUGUGCUGGGAUAUGGGAACACUGCUUAUGGCUGAGAAGCUCGUAUUAUAUGUUUCCCGGACUCCCCACUAUCCCCUGACAAACCCUGGGCUCACUGUCAAGGAUGGGGGAGCUGGACUGUGGGGAGCAGUGGUCCAGGGAGGAGGUGAGGGGCAAAGGGGAGCAGGUUGAGGUUCUCAAGGAUGUACUGGGGGUUCAGCUCUGAGUCUAAGACAAGGGGCUGGGGCCCCAGAGGAAACCUCUGAGCCCCUGAGGUAUGGGUCUGGAAGCCCCAUCAGUGCCAGUCAGAGGCCAUCCCCUUCCUUAGUGUUGCUGCUGCCCUGAGGAACUCGUGUGGGAGCCACUGGGCCAGCGAGGCUCUUGACCUUCGGGGGCCUUUCUUUCCUCAUCUGUAGACACAAGCGCUGGUGUGAGGAAACCGCAGUGCAAUGCUGAUUCUACACCAUCCUGCACUGGUAAGAUGAUUUGUAACAUGCAGGAAGAAGGAAAAUGGCAGGUCCUUCUAGACGUCUCUGCAAAAAACUUAGUAAAACAUCUUAAAGGAAUGAGCCCCAUUUUAGGAGGGAGAGAGAAAUCCCCAUCUAGAGCCAGUGGGUCUCCACGUGGAGUCUCCUUGGGUCAUAUCCUCGGUUCUGAGGAGAUCAGGGGCACCCUUACUUGGAAGAGCUAAAGUCAUCUCUCCCACAUAAUGGAGGCCAUAAGCGGUUGUUAAGUGUUCAGGUAUCAAUACAGGUGAGAGAAAGUUGAAAGGAGAAAGGGGCCAGGCGCAGUGGCACACGCCUGUAAUCCCAGCACUUUGGGAGGCUGAGGAGGGAGGAUCGCUUGAACCCAAGAGUUUGAGACCAGCCUGGGCAAUAUAAUGAGAUCCCCAAGUCUACAAAAAUAAUUUUUUUUUUUUUUUUUGAGAUGGAGUCUGGCUCUAUUGCCCAGGCUGGAGUGCAGUGGUGUGAUCUCGGCUCACUGCAAGCACCGCCUCCUGGGUUCACGCCAUUCUCCUGCCUCAGCCUCCAGAGUAGCUGGGACUACAGGCGCCCGCCACCACGCCCCGCUAAUUUUUUGUAUUUUUAGUAGAGACAGGGUUUCACCACAUUAGCCAGGAUGGUCUCGAUCUCCUGACCUCGUGAUCCACCCACCUCGGCCUCCCAAAGUGCUGAGAUUUAAAAAAAUUUUUUUAAAUUAGUCAGGCAUGGUGGUGCACACCUGUGGUCCCAGCUAUUUCGGAGGCUGAGGCAGGAAGACCACUUGAGCCCAGGAGGUCAAGGCUGCAGUGAGUUAUGAUCGCACCACUGCACUCCAGCCUGGGUGACAAAGCAAAACCAUGUCUUAAAAAAACAAACAAAAAGGCCGGGCGCGGUGCCUCACACCGGUAAUCCCAGCACUUUGGAAGCCUGAGGAGGGUGGAUCACUUGAGUGAAGUCAGGAGUUUGAGACCAGUCUGGCCAACAUGGUGAAACCCCGUCUCUACUAAAAAUACAAAAAUUAGCCAGGAGUGGUGGUGUGUGCCUGUAAUCCCAGCUACACGGGAGGCUGAGGCAGGAGAACGGCUUGAACCCAGGAGGAGAAUGGCUUGAACCCGAGAGGCAGAGGGUGACAGAGUGAGACUCCAUCUCGAAAGAGAGAAAGAAAGAAAGAAAGAAAGAAAGAAGGAAGGAAGGAAGGAAGGAAGGAAGGAAGGAAGGAAGGAAGGAAGGAAGGAAGGAAAGAAAGAAAGAAAGAAAGAAAGAAAGAAAGAAAGAAAGAAAGAAAGAAAGAAAGAAAGAAAGAAAGAAAGAAAAGCAAGCAAGCCACACAUGGUUGGGAACUGUGGCUGAAAAGAAGCUGAGCUUGGGGCCUAGACAGCUGUGGCAAGAACGGUGUUAGGUCCUUUUCAGUUUUGUAUGGCUUUUGCACCAGGCAGGCCAGCUUCUGCCAUUUCCUGUCUGUUUGAGCGUGGCCAAGUCCUUUAAUUUCACCCAGCCUCAGUUUCGCCAUCUGUAAAAUGGGGAUGACAUUGCCUGUCACUAGGCCUGCAGUGUCAAUGCAGUUCACUGACAUGCAGAGAGAGCAGUGCAGGCCCAGGCUACGGUGGGGCUUACGUACCAUAGUAACUUACCCACACAGUCAUCUGGGGCUUCCCCACAAACAGGAAUGAGAGCAUAUCAAUAGAGUUAUUAUUUGAAUAAAUAAUUCCAUUUUUCUAUAUUUAUAGAAAAAGACGCAGGUGAACCCUGUGUCAUACUGCCUGUGGUUCCUGCUGUGGGGAGGGUGACCAUGGCUUCACCCAGGGGCAGGCCCUAGGCUUAGGUGAGAUAGAGCAGUCCCCGCCCCCAGCGCUCGGAGGCUGUGCACUUAAACUUCAAAGGACCUUCCAACAGAUGCAGCUGGUUUCCUGCAGCCGUGCAGCAGCCAAUGCCAGCCUGAAUCACCCCGGCCUAAGGGAAGCUGGGGAGCAGAGGCCCGCAGAGACCUUAGCCCAGGUUAAUAUGAGAGGCUUCCUGGAGGCAGAACACACCCAGAUUCUAACUGCUAGAAGAAAGAAGAGAAUGGCGUGUUGGGGAGUUGCUGUAGCCCAGGGUGUUGGGGCCUGGGAUGUGUAGAUUCAGAGGGGUCUUUAGGAGGAACGACUUGGGAGAUAAGAGCGAUAAGAGCACUGAUAAACGAGGUCACAGGUAGGAAUGUAACCUGCGGACUCUCCAAGCCCCAGGAGUAGCUGGGUUCAGGCAGGUCCUCUCCUCCAGAAGGCCCACCAGGAGUGCCUACAGUGGUGUAGCUUGCAGCUUCCAAGCUACAGGAAGAGUCCUUGGGUCUGUGCUGUGGGUAUGAGAGAGUGAGAUGGGGUGGACACGGGCCAGGGCCAGGGCCAGGGCAGGAUGGGGGCAUGGGGAAGUGGUAUCCCUAAGCAAGGGGCUUAGAGGCCCUGUGUGGGGCUGGCCCACGGCAGGUGGGAGGGAUUUUUAGGUAGGCUCAGGUGCAGAUGGAGACAUUACGCCGUGGCCCCACAGGUGGUUAAUAUUUAAUCUCCUCCUUAAUCAUUAACUCCCUGGCUGGCUGGGGAGGAACAGGGCUGUUGUCAAAUCAGUAACCACAGGCCCAGGAACAAUGUCCACAGAUCUCAUGGCCUCUCCCAUUGCUGGCCGAGUGGGGUAACCCCUGGCCCUGGGGGCCAGGUGCAUCUCCCUCCCACGGUGACCUUGGGCCAUGGAGAGGGCUUGAAGAGGCCAAUCCUCUCCGAGCCCCUGGAUCGCCCUUUACCCUCCACCCUCUACUUACUGGUGGGGAGUGGUGGGAGGUGGUGUCCAUUCACGCAUGAGGGUUCUAGUCCCUACCCACUCCUUCCAGGCUGUGUGACCUUGGGCAACUCACGUAGCCUCCCUGAACCUCAGUUUCCUCAUCUGUGCAAUGAGGAUAAUUAUUCGUGUCUUGGAGGAUUGUCAUGAGAUUUGAAUGAGAGGAGGGUAUACAAGGAAGUACUUUCUAAGCUGACGAUUGAGUUAGCAAACAAGUUAGAGAAAGUACAGAUGGGAAGAGACAGAGAGCAAAGGGUAAAGAGGAAAGAAAACAGCUUGAGAGCUCUUGUUUCCAUCCACCCAAAUGCAGUUCCUUUCCUUGGAGUUUGUUUUAAUUCAUUCAAGGAGUGUUGAUUGAUAAGGCUGUGUCUCCCUAAGUGGGGCUUUAGGGGUAAUUUAAAAAGGAGUCAACCUCACCCUCAGGGAGCAAGAGUGACCAGGCUCCAGGGCUGAACCCAGCAGUGUCUGGGAUGAAGGUCAGCAGGUCAGUGGGAUGGGCUGGAGGGUCAGAGCAGGCCUUAAGGCUGAAGCAGGGCGGGGAGAGGAUCCUGAGGGAUGAUUAGGAGUUGCGUGUGGAGGUGUAGGGAGGACUGUGCGUGCAAGCUUGCACCUAGGGAUGUUUGUGUCCUUGAAUUCAAGCACAUAAGCAGACUAUCUGAACACAGCCUGUCGCGAGGGUACACAUGAAUCACCCACAAACUCAGAGUAGUCAGCCACCCACCCACAAACACACACACACAGAUGCACACGGUCACCCCAGGGGCGUGUGGACACACCAGCACCUUGGGAUGGCAAGGCCCUCCUCUUCCAGCCCCAGCCCUGAGGCUUUCUGGAUAACUUAGCAUAUGUGUCCCCCAGUUUGUGUGCUUUCUGGGCCUGGCUGACACCCAUCACAGGACUGAACACUUCUGGCGUUCCAAAGUCUUC